CCUGGAUGAAGAGGAUCGACCCAGUCCUCUUGGAAUACGGAGGUUGUGGUGACAACCCUCAUUGCUCUCCAUCAGCACGUACCUAACCCUGACUAGAGGGAUAUACAAACCACAGAAUUCCGAUGACUCACCCCAAAAUAGCUUAUGAAUAUGCCAGGGGCGGAAGGGCAUGCUGUUUGGUUCUCUAAAACUUCCUGCCAAACUGAAGAAACUGAACGUACACAGAUAUUUGGGGACUAACUAGGAAGGAUACCAAGGAACAACUUCAUAUUUUAAACAACAACCACAAUUGCAGGAGUCACUUUGAUUGGAGUUUGAAAGGAAUGCCAAUAUCCAGCCACCCUUGACAUUCUGUG